UUAUAUAGUUGCAUUACUCCCCAAAGUGACAAAUGUGUCCCCAUCUCUUUGAUUGUAAUUAGUAUCUUAUUUGUUUGCUUUUAUUUUUUUUCUUUUAGUUAGAUAAAUGGACUAAAAAUAAUAAAAUCAACAUUUUCAAAAUAAUAAAAACACUUGGUCAACACUAAGCUUCAUUUUCAAAAACAUUUGGUCAACACCAAGUUUCCAUCAUUCCAACUACAAAACAUUUCACCAUAAAC
rnacentral:lncRNA from 1 species